GUCUCUGUGGCGCAAUAGGUUAGUGCCUCUGGCUGUUAACCAGAAGGUUGGUGGUUCGAGCCCACCCAGGGAUG